GUCAAUGCAGAGCUGCUCAGGGAUUUUUCACAGGAAGUUUAUAUAUUGAGGAAGAUUCGGCACAAGAAUGUUGUGCAAUUUAUAGAAGCAUGUACACGACCUCCAAACCUAUGCAUUGUGACAGAAUUUAUGUCCAAAGGAAGUGUAUACGAUUUUCUGCAUAAGCACAAGGGUGUGUUUAAGCUUCCAACUCUACUCAAAGUAGCAAUUGACGUCUCCAAGGGAAUGAACUAUUUGCACCAAAAUAAUAUAAUCCACAAGGAUCUUAAG